UACGUAGGGUGCAAGCGUUGUUCGGAAUCAUUGGGCGUAAAGCGCGUGUAGGUGGUUGGUUAAGUCGGGUGUGAAAUCCCUGGGCUCAACCGAGGAAGUGCACUCGAAACUGGCUGGCUAGAAGAUGGUAGAGGAAGGUGGAAUUCCAAGUGUAGAGGUGAAAUUCGUAGAUAUUUGGAGGAAUACCGGCGGCGAAGGCGGCCUUCUGGGCCAUUCUUGACACUGAGACGCGAAAGCGUGGGGAGCAAACAGG
rnacentral:rRNA from 1 species